GACCUCUUCUUCAACAUCGUCCAGUGGUACAGCCCUUCUUGGAAAGAAUUCAGAAUAAGAUACGGACUGUGUACGAGGCUAUCACGUGCACCCGGAGAACUGAUGUUGUUCAGCAUGAGCAGGAGCAGCCGUGUCACUCCAUGCAACGACAUCAACCACGUCCACGCCUAGCACAACAGUCGACAACCAGGCCACCCCGUCCUGACCAACCUGGCAGUUCUACGUGGCACCCGCAGCACUAUGGUCCCACGUUGAGCUUCGUGUUUUCUCCACAGCCACAGCAACACGGUCCCUCGUCGAGCUUCGUGUUUUCUCCACAGCCACAGCAGCACGGUCCCUCGUCCAGUUUCGUGUUUCAGCCAGAGCAGACGUCACACCCAGCAGGGGCCUAUGGAUAUCAGCCGUCUAUGUCGGCAUCACAUGAUACGUGGGGGAGUGAUCAACAUCCCGAGGACAACAUACAGGCUCAGAUGUCGCAGCACACCCAGUGGAUGAACAUGUUUUCGACUCCUCCACCAGGCCCCACACAGGAUACACAGCAUGACCAGGGUGAGUCUGAGAUUCCUCCUCGUCACGUUAGGGCACCCGACAGGUUGGGAUGGUCCCCGAUUCCAGAUCCGCCUCCCCGCCAGGCCAGACGUCGUCACUGACGCUUCUAUGUAUCUGUAUCAGUACAGACAUUACCAUCUAUUUCUGUGUAAGACUUAUGUCUAUUCUAUGUUUGAGACAAAUGACUAUGUACUUAUGUACGAGACAUAUGCCUACUCUAUUUUA